CCCGCCACUAAGCCUGUCUUGUGUAAGUGACUGGUUAUAGUCCAGUGGUGAGCUAAGAGCAAUCCCAGCUUAAGGAAGCAGAGCCAUUCUGUUGGCUGUGAAGAGCUCUGUGCCGAAAGGCUGGGAACACUG
rnacentral:snoRNA from 1 species